GCUUGUCUCAAAGAUUAAGCCAUGCAUGUCUAAGUAUAAGCGACUAUACUGUGAAACUGCGAAUGGCUCAUUAAAUCAGUUAUGGUUUAUUUGAUGGUACCUACUACUUGGAUAACCGUAGUAAUUCUAGAGCUAAUACAUGCAGGAAGACCCGACUCACGAAGGGUUGUAUUUAUUAGAUAUACCGAGUAGGUGAAUCAUAAUAACUUCGCAAAUCGCAGUAAUACUGCGAUAAAUCAUUCAAGUUUCUGCCCUAUCAUGCUCUCGAUGGUAGUGUAUUGGACUACCAUGGCUCUCACGGGUAACGGGGAAUUAGGGUUCGAUUCCGGAGAAGGAGCCUGAGAAACGGCUACUACAUCCAAGGAAGGCAGCAGG
rnacentral:rRNA from 1 species